rnacentral:lncRNA from 1 species
UCUACCUAAAAAACCAAAUAAUGUAAAAAUUAAUGCCUUGCAACAAUGUAAAACUAUAAUCUUUGUAAACAUUAUCAUUUUUUUCAUAUUGCAUAUGUAUCUCCUUUAAUGCAAAAUAAGAUAUAUGACACAAAAGCUUUCUAAAAAUGGGCACAUUAUUAGAUUUUGUGAGUUGCAAGUUUCACUUUAAUCGUGUUGAAUUCAUGUCUGAUUGCAAUAAAAAUAUUUUUUUGACUACUUUGAAAGACACCCAUGGAUAUUUGUAUAGACAAUAUGUGUUUGGUGUUAACAUCUUCACACCUUGAAAAUAAUCGAUAUAAUGAUGGAUGCACAAAGAUAUCGGUAGAAGGUUUAUGGUUGUAAGUCAACUUGUUUUCCUUAUGUAACCCUAGAUCCAUCAUUUCUCUUCAUACGUACAAUUUGGAAGGGGAAUUUGAUCAAACGAGAUCCGUUGUUCUUCCUUUUAUCUCAAAUACACAAUCUAUUUACGUAUAAAUCAACAUGAUCACAUUGCAACGUGACAUAUUUGUAUUUUCUUGAAUCCCAAAUAAAUACUCAAUAUCCUUUAGUGACUCUUUAGUAAUUGAUCAUAUGAUUUAGAUUUGGAGUUAACUAAAUCGAAUUCUUCGUUUUAUAUCAUAGAACUUGAUAAAUCUAUUCCUCCUGUUGAAUCAAUUUUAAAACAAUCAUACUUCACAUUCAAGAACCAAACACAUGGUUUUAACAUAAUAAUAAUUAAUAUAUUAACACAUUGUUUUAAAAGAAUGAAAACCAACCAUAAUAUUUCGAGUUUUUUUUUUGUCCCUCACCAACCCUAUUAAGGUUAUAAUGUUUAUAUCUUUGCAUAUGGCCAAACUAGAUCCGAAAAACACAUAUAAUGGUAACAUACUUUCUCAUUUCUAUAAAUUAUACAGUAUGUAUCUCAAAGAAUAUUAAGUAUUUAACAUAUAAUACAUUUGUUUAGUUAGUCGUCUAGGACCAAAGGAUCUUAUUGUAACGUCCAGGUUUGUCUACCAGGGUACACCCUAAAAUUUCAUUUCUCUUCUAAAAUUUACAAAUAGUUUUUUGUGUACACUAGCACGGUGGUAUAGAAGAAGUUAUCAUAAGGAUCAUAUUGGCCUCAAGUACAUGAUGUAGUCCGGCGUCAAAAUAAACUACAUGUAAAAUAGAUCAUCACAAAAAUGUAAGCCUCAUGACUUAGUGAAUAACAAUUAUAAUAACGUAAUCUCAUAGAUCAUAUAAAUCACAUAAUUAAACCGAACCAUACCAAAAUUUUUAGUUUUUUGAAAAUUUAAAACCACACCAUUGGUCUUAUGUUCGUUUUUGGUUUUUCGGUUAUUUUGCAGUUUUUCUGUUAUCUGUUUGGUUUUUGCUUACCCUUACGUCUUAUGGUAACACAUCAAUGAAUCUCGUAGUCGACCUCGUGUCUCUUGUACAACAUUAUAUUUCAUCCGCUAUAAUCUUCCAAGAACGACUUACGAGUGCCAAAGUCCCCUAUAUGACACAAAAACACACAUAUUUAUACUCUAUAGUGCCCCACGUGGUGGCCAUAAGCAUGCCACAUCGUGGUGAUCAAGUAAAAUCCUGUUUCACCACAUGUCGCACUCUCCCACCACGUGUCUCGGUGACUCGCCUCAUACCACAUUGUGGUGAAUCUACUACCACGUUGUGGUGAUGAGAUAGACUCCGUCUAGCCACGUGUCGCUCUCCGGUUGACAUGUGUAUUGAUGAUUCACUCAUUGCCAUGUCGUGGCAAGCAUACAACCACAUUGUGGUGGUCAAGAGUGUGACCGUUCACUUGACUUCUGUUGACUUUCUCAAAAUAGCAAUGCACUUUCAUCUAAAUCUUCAAUACGGUCAUAAAUUUCUCAUACGAACUCCGUUUUCGAUGAUAAUUAUAUCCACAAAAUCAUCUCAACAAGAUCUAAAACACUCCUUAAUUAUCUUUUGCUAAACAACAUUUCUCAAUUUAAAGCACCUCAAAGUUUUAUUUCAUCUCUUAUCUCAUAAAAUUUACGCCCCGUAAAAUAAUACAUGUUACGAAAAACCAAGUGUUACACUUAUAGAGACUAGUCAAGAAGUCAAACUAAAAAUGUAUUAUUUUCCUCUAAGGAUAUACAAAACAUAUACUUUUCAUUCAAUAAAUUUAACAUGUAAUCCAUUUGCUUGUUAUUUAACAUAUAAUUCAUUUUAGUGGUCUAGUUACGGAGAGUUUAAAAAAAAAAAAAAGAUAUCGUUUUUUUCCAAUUGUUAUAUUAAAUGUUUGCAUCGAAACAAAAACAUUUUUAUUGUCUGCUUCCUUAAUAUGAUAUUAUAUUAGAAAUUGGUAACAAUUCACGUGAUGGAUUCAAUGUUGUCUACAUGGAAUCAAUGUAUGAUGUUAUUAAUCUAAUGAAACUAGGGCACAAAAUCAUGUUGUUUUUGUAAUUGCAACUGUUUUAAAUGACCGUACUUUAAGCAAUAUACAUAGAAUUUGGAGUUACCGUUUGAGAGUCGGCUGAAAAAGAAGCGGCUGAAGAGCAACCUCAAAGGAGUGUAUGUUUCGUCGUGCGUGGUUUGGACUCCCGAGCCUAAUCAUGAGUUUUUUAGAAACAAAAAACUGAAAUUUCUCCCUAUUAAAUAAAUAGGUUAUAAUCGUCACUAUAUAAAUAACUAAACAUCAAAAUAUGCCGCGGAAAUAUAAGCGUCCUAAGUAUUAUAGACAAACAAGUCAAAUAUUUUACGAAGGGUGACGAUGUCGAUUCUUUGUUUUGUUUGUUAUGCCGUCCAAAACUAAGAUUCUGCGCACAAAGAGAUUGUUAGUGUCUUCUACACCUUUAUCUAGAAAAUGCUUUUAUGUCUUCCUAUGUAAACAAAUUGACAAGUGUUAUCAUCUCAUUGGCUGGCUGAUUUGGAUCCCCCAAUCACUUUAUCCAUUUAUAAUUCAUUACCAAAACUCUCCAC